UACGGAGGGGGCUAGCGUUGUUCGGAAUCACUGGGCGUAAAGCGCACGUAGGCGGAUGUGUCAGUCAGGGGUGAAAUCCCGGAGCUCAACUUCGGAACUGCCUCUGAUACAGCACGUCUUGAGUCCGAUAGAGGUGGGUGGAAUUCCUAGUGUAGAGGUGAAAUUCGUAGAUAUUAGGAAGAACACCGGUGGCGAAGGCGGCCCACUGGAUCGGUACUGACGCUGAGGUGCGAAAGCGUGGGGAGCAAACAGG
rnacentral:rRNA from 1 species